rnacentral:rRNA from 1 species
GACGAACGCUGGCGGCGUGCUUAACACAUGCAAGUCGAACGGAAAGGCCCUGCUUUUGUGGGGUGCUCGAGUGGCGAACGGGUGAGUAACACGUGAGUAACCUGCCCUUGACUUUGGGAUAACUUCAGGAAACUGGGGCUAAUACCGGAUAGGAGCUCCUGCUGCAUGGUGUGGGUUGGCAAGUUUCGGCGGUUGGGGAUGGACUCGCGGCUUAUCAGCUUGUUGGUGGGGUAGUGGCUUACCAAGGCUUUGACGGGUAGCCGGCCUGAGAGGGUGACCGGCCACAUUGGGACUGAGAUACGGCCCAGACUCCUACGGGAGGCAGCAGUGGAGAAUAUUGCACAAUGGGCGGAAGCCUGAUGCAGCAACGCCGCGUGCGGGAUGACGGCCUUCGGGUUGUAAACCGCUUUCGCCUGUGACGAAGCGUGAGUGACGGUAAUGGGUAAAGAAGCACCGGCUAACUACGUG